GUAAGGACUAGCUUGUUUGAGACGCGCCACCUUCACCUCGCUAUCCUAUUGGUUCAUUUUUCAAGAGUUGCCUAUUAGUGACAUGCAUUUACGUAAUAUUCGUUCAUUCCGGCAAGUCGCGGUGUCACGUGUGGGUCGGUUGUCUUGUUUCCGUGCCAUCCUACCCCGCGCUAGCCUCCUGUGGACACCGGUGCCCUUGGGAGCUGUGGUAGCGGGAAAGGGCGAGGAGGCGGCGUGUGGCGUGCCUGCUUCGUGCGUCGUCAUCACCACACCACCGUCGCCUUCAGGUUAGAUGCAGUUAAUGUUCUCCGUGUUGCCUCCAUGUUACGUGUUGAAGGUUCUCGCAUCUCCUUUCUCCUCGAGGCUGUGUUGUGAAUUUAUAGCCGUGUUCCCGUGCGGCCCUUGAAUGUCCGUCCAUCCUUCUGUAAUUGUCCUUCAAGACUGUCAAGUGCCUCACCUGUUCAGGAAGGUGAUUCCCGUCCACCAAGGGGCGCGAGGGUGCGGGUGUUGGACAGGCUGCGGGGUAGCUGACAGUGGCGUGAGUGAUGAGUGGUGCCUGUCAAUGGGAGGUGAGGCGUGUAUUUCUUGCUGCUGUGGGUAGUCUCUCUCUCUCUCUCUCUCUCUCUCUCUCUCUC